rnacentral:rRNA from 1 species
CCUACGGGUGGCUGCAGUAGGGAAUCUUCCACAAUGGACGAAAGUCUGAUGGAGCAACGCCGCGUGUGUGAUGAAGGGUUUCGGCUCGUAAAACACUGUUGUAAGCGAAGAAUGACAUUGAGAGUAACUGUUCAGUGUGUGACGGUAUCUUACCAGAAAGGAACGGCUAAAUACGGGUCAGCAGCCGCGGUAAUAGGUAUGUUCCCAGCGUUAUCCGGAUUUAUUGGGCGUAAGGCGAGCGCAGACGGUUUUUUAAGUGCGAAGGGAAAGCCCACGGCUUAACUGGAGAAGUGCUUUGGAAACUGGAUAACUUGAGUGCAGUAGAGGAAAGUGGAACUCCAUGUGUAGCGGUGAAAUGCGUAGAUAUAUGGGAGAACACCGGUGGCGAAGGCGGCUCUCUGGACUGUAACUGACGUUGAGGCUGGAAAGUGUGGGUAGCAAACAGGAUUAGAUACCCGAGUAGUC